rnacentral:lncRNA from 1 species
UUUUUUUUUCUUUUGGCCUAAGACCCAUUCUUUUCAUUAAUACAAUCACAUACUUUGUUUCUAUUUAAAUGAUAAAAGAAAAAAAAUUACUUCCUUGCUUUCCUUGCUCCUAUUUCUCUUCCUCAAAGUCACCAAAUGUUUCAUUACCCUGGAGACUUCCUUAAAGAAAAACUGAGGAGGGUGAUAAGAUGAAAUGUUUUCUUUCUGAAUUCUUUUGUAACUUGAAAGGAAAUAAAUUGUACUAAGAAAGCCUUUCACUUAUGGUCUCUAUUUUAAACAUCUUGCAAUAGAAAAAAUAAAACUUUUAAGACAAAGAAAAAUGUAGUCUGUUCCAUAAUAAUAGGAUCUACAAGGCAACAGACUAUAGGAGCAGGAGAACUGAGUUUCAGCUUUUUACUUUCUUACUUUUUCCCUAUAAAAUUAAAAACAAACAAACAAAAAACAACACAAUGGCCAUAAUCAGAGUUGAUAUUUAGCUGCUGUGCAUAGAUACAGCCAUGUCUUGUUCACAGCUGGCCCCGGCUCCAUGAUUGAGCCACCAGUCCUGUUUGAUCACAUGGCUGUUCUGAUUGAUUAGUAUCCAUGCCAUACAGUUGUUAAAUAUUUCAUUACUGCCCCUGCCUGUAACUCAGCAAUAGAAAUGCUGUGGUUGCUGACUUGUUUAUUUGGAAUAAGUAACAGAGUGAUACAUGAUGAGUCAAGGAAAUGAAGAAGGAAAACAGAAGGGAGGCGUAAAAAGAAUUACUGCUGGCACACUUGCUAUUUCACACUUAUCACAUACAGAUUCUAGGAAUUAGAUUUUCAAAUUAACAUGCUUUGUAAGCUGCGAUGCACAGGACUCUCUAUUCCCUAGACAAAUAAACUGAAUUAAAUAAUACCUUGUUCUCAUUCUGUUUACACUACAGUUUAUUAUAUUUGAACCAGCACAGCCUGGUUGUCAAAAAACCUAAACAGUGGAGUGCUUGGGAUAGCAUAAACCUGCCUUCUGUCAGUGAAUUGUUUGUCCCUGAUAUUUAAAUAGCAUUUUCCAGGGCAUUGAUGAACCCUUUGGUGUCUGGGAAAGCGUAAUUUAUUACCUGGAAAUCCAGAUUUAUUUACCUCCCAAAGAUGAUGAUUUUGCAUUUAGGAAAUAGUGUAGGUCGUUCAUCAAAAAAUUUGACCAACGUUACCUUCAUUUUGUUUAAAAGAUUUCUCAUGAUUAUGUAAAACAUCAUCUUUGACACAUUGAUUAAUCUGUAAGAAAGAGUCCUCUGUUGCCAGAGGGAAGAUGGCAGGAGGGUGGGGGAGAAUGGAUGGCUGAAAUAGAUAAAGAGGAUUAAGAGGUACAAACUUUCAGUUAGAAAAUAAAUAAGUCACAGAGAUUAAAAGUAUAGCCUAGGGAAUAUACCUAAUAAUAUUGUAAAAAUGACACAGAUAACAGAUGGUAACCACACGUAUGAUGGUAAGCACUAAUGUAUAGAAUUGUCAAAUCACUAUGUUGUACGCCUGAAACUAAUAUAACAUUGUAUGUCAACUGUAUUUCAAUAAUAAAAGAAAAAAGAGUCCUCUAUAACUGCUAAGCUUCUAUGGACUUCUCCAACUUCCAAAUUGAAAAAUUUAUCACCAUGUCUUAAUUCACACAUUACCUUAUUCCCAGUUAAAUGUUUCAAAAAUAACAAAAAUGCAAUGAGUGAGAAAUGAGAGCAAGGCCAUAUGGAAAGCCAUCCCCCAGUGCCCAAAGGAAAAAAAAAUGUAUCUACUAAAAUCCCACAUAUUUAUGUUUGAAAUAAAAAUAAAUGGAAAGAAGGAAAUGUAAUCAGUGACAUAGUGCAUUUUGUCUGUUUGAUAAAAAUGUAUUACUUGGUUAGAAGAAGCACUCUUCUUGGAACUGAGGCUAGAGAGAAACUCUUUGGGGGAUCUUUUAAAAAGACAGCACUGCGUAUGUGAACCAUAUUCUCAAAAAACACCCUCAUUAAAGACUUAGACUUCUUGGACUAUGAUAGAGGAGAUUGCAUCAGACCAGCCUUCCUACUGAGAACUUUCACAAAAUGGAUAAAAUGCAAAAACAUCCCCGUGUUGGCAUCAAAAGCAAUUGGAAGCGGCCACAGCAGGAUCUUGGACAAAAAAAAAAAAAAAAAAAAA